UAGGGAAUCUUCCACAAUGGACGCAAGUCUGAUGGAGCAACCCGCGUGAGUGAAGAAGGCUUUCGGGUCGUAAAACUCUGUUAUUGAAGAAGAACGUGUGUGACAGUAACUGGUCAUGCAGUGACGGUAUUCAAUCAGAAAGUCACGGCUAACUACGUGCCAGCAGCCGCGGUAAUACGUAGGUGGCAAGCGUUGUCCGGAUUUAUUGGGCGUAAAGCGAGUGCAGGCGGUCUUUUAAGUCUGAUGUGAAAGCCUUCGGCUUAACCNGAAGAAGGGCAUCGGAAAC
rnacentral:rRNA from 1 species